UCCGAGUUGACCCCGGCAGUCUCUCACGAGUCCCCGCCAUAACGCGCUGGCAACAUGAGACAAGGGUUGCGCUCGUUGCGGGACUUAACCCAACAUCUCACGACACGAGCUGACGACAGCCAUGCACCACCUGCACACAGGCCACAAGGGAAGAUGUGUUUCCACACCCGUCAGGCACAUGUCAAGCCCAGGUAAGGUUCUUCGCGUUGCGUCGAAUUAAACCACAUGCUCCGCUGCUUGUGCGGGUCCCCGUCAAUUCCUUUGAGUUUUAGCCUUGCGGCCGUACUCCCCAGGCGGGGUACUUAAUGCGUUAGCUACGGCACGGAUCCCAAGGAAGGAAACCCACACCUAGUACCCACCGUUUACGGCGUGGACUAC
rnacentral:misc_RNA from 1 species